UAUGGGAAUGCCCUGCAGUAGACGACCAACAAAUAAUUAAUUCAGUGGCAUCUUUGGAGAUUCUUUGUCUUCCAGUGCCAUGACAAUGCUUUUCUCUUCAAUUUUCUUUUUUAAAAUUUCAUCUUCUUUUUCUUUUUCUUUUCUUUUCUUCUCUCUGUCUACCCUACAGGCCCUUUGUGUAAGCACUGUGUCUAAGCUGCACACCACAAGUACCUGGCAACAGCCAGGACUGAAUAAUGAGGCUUGACACACACUCAAGGCAAGGGAACAACAGUGCAUGGGCAUGAAGACCAGAAGGCAACCCAGUGGCAACCGAGCACAUCAUUCGAAGC
rnacentral:lncRNA from 1 species